GGCCCUGUCGUCUAGUGGUUAGGACACGGCUCUUUCAAGGCCGUAACACGGGUUCGAUCCCCGUCAGGGCUG
rnacentral:tRNA from 1 species